rnacentral:rRNA from 1 species
GAUGAACGCUGGCGGCGUGCCUAAUACAUGAAGUCGAGCGAACGGACGAGAAGCUUGCUUCUCUGAUGUUAGCGGCGGACGGGUGAGUAACACGUGGAUAACCUACCUAUAAGACUGGGAUAACUUCGGGAAACCGGAGCUAAUACCGGAUAAUAUUUUGAACCGCAUGGUUCAAAAGUGAAAGACGGUCUUGCUGUCACUUAUAGAUGGAUCCGCGCUGCAUUAGCUAGUUGGUAAGGUAACGGCUUACCAAGGCAACGAUGCAUAGCCGACCUGAGAGGGUGAUCGGCCACACUGGAACUGAGACACGGUCCAGACUCCUACGGGAGGCAGCAGUAGGGAAUCUUCCGCAGUGGGCGAAAGCCUGACGGAGCAACGCCGCGUGAGUGAUGAAGGUCUUCGGAUCGUAAAACUCUGUUAUUAGGGAAGAACAUAUGUGUAAGUAACUGUGCACAUCUUGACGGUACCUAAUCAGAAAGCCACGGCUAACUACGUG